rnacentral:rRNA from 1 species
UACGUAGGGUGCAAGCGUUGUCCGGAAUUAUUGGGCGUAAAGAGCUCGUAGGCGGUUUGUCGCGUCUGGUGUGAAAAUCCAGGGCUUAACCCUGGACCUGCAUCGGGUACGGGCAGACUAGAGUGCGGUAGGGGAGAUCGGAAUUCCUGGUGUAGCGGUGAAAUGCGCAGAUAUCGGGAGGAACACCAGUGGCGAAGGCGGCGACCUGGACGGACACUGACGCUGAGACGCGAAAGCGUGGGGAGCAAACAGG